GCGCGGGUGGUGGAAUCCGGUAGACACGCCACUUUGAGGGGGUGGUGGGCGCAAGCCCGUGGAGGUUCAAAUCCUCUCCCGCGCACCA
rnacentral:tRNA from 1 species